CCUGUUGCAUUUUGGGUCAUUCUCUCUGUUUCCCUUGCUGCAGUCCAUCCCUCGUUCUCUCCCUUGCCCAAUUAGAACCCCAAACCCUCCCUCUCCGCCUCUUACCACAGGCCAUCCCUCACUUCUCUCUCUCUCUCUCUCUCUCUCGUCUAAAGGAAACCCACAAACCCUCCUUCUCCACCCCUCACUGCCGGCCAUCACUCAUUCUCUCUCUCUCUUUCUCAUCUAAAGGAAACCCCCAAAACCUUCCUCUUUGUUAUCAUUGGAAGCCUUCCCUCUCCGCCGUCGUCGGAAGCCAUCCCUCUUAGCCAUCGCUGGAAGUUGUACCUGUCAACCGUUGCUGGGAGCUGAACCUCUCCGUCAUCACUUGGAGCAGCCUUGUUCGUCCUUACUAGAAGACACCCAUCUUCCCUUCUCAAUUUGCUGUGGUUUGGUAGCUCAAAGAUAAUUUUUUUUAAUGGCUCAUGUGAGGUCGGGUAAGAAAGCCCAUCAAGUCGAGAGCUCCCGAACUUCCAAGGAGCAAAAGAGGCAGAAUACAACUCUCCAUUGACUAAUAAAUUAUUGGUGCUACCUUCAGAGAUACAGAGAGUUUAUAAAGGGUAUCUAUGAAAGAUUGACGGAUGCCCAUAAGGCGAUGAUAAGGCAAACAUCCUUCCAUUACAUGCUCAUAACAUAGGAGAGGGCGGUGAUAGACCAUCUUCUUCAUUGUUGGGAAGAAAGUAGGAGAGGUUUUAGAUUGGGAGGCUAAACUUUGGUCUUCUUCCCAGAUGACAUCACCAUCAUUCUUAGGCUACCCCUUAAUGGGAUAGCCAUAAAUUUCAAGAACGCUUAUCCAAUGUGUUGAGGACAACAUACUUCAAGGAGCCAAUAGUCAGGAGGGAUGCAUUAGAAUAUAGAAUAAAAGUAUUGUUAGAUGAUAAUUCUUCCGACUAUGGUAUAGUUGCUUGUCAUGUACUUUUAGGUACAGUUUUCUCUCCUUCCUCCAGUCCUAGCGUUGCACCAUGGAUCUACUCCUACAUUGACUCCGUAGGUAAGAUUGGUUGUUUUGCUUGGGCGAGAGCAGUCUAUGAGCGCUUAAUAGAAUUUAUCCCUAGGGCUGCUGAAAAAGUUAAAAGGAAGGUUAGAGGUGCCAAGGAGAGCACUGGAUAUCUAAAUAGCUACGUUACUGUCCUGAUGGUAAGCACUAUAUUUUAUUAUUACUUCAUGGAUGAAUUUGAUUAGUCAUGAAUGAAUUUGAUAACUCAUUUUGCUUACUUUUCUUAUUGUUCACUUUUUAUUUUCUAGUUUCGCUUCUUGAGUGGACAGGCAUAGUCAAACCAAGAAAUUAUGGAUUGCUCCCAAGAAUUAUGAACUGGGAUAGACCACAGCUCAUGAAAAGGGCCCAUGUUGGACAGUUGAUGAAGGGCUUUAAGGAGGGAGAUAUUAUCAAACCACCACGAGCAACAGAGGAUGAGGAGUUGCUUUUCAAAGUGGGACUUUCAAGCUAUCCUACCAAGAAGGACGAAGGUACUAGCAAGAGGAGUAGGACAGCAAGGAAAAUAAGCAUGGCUGAGAUGGCACGCAGUAGUACCAUGGCAUGUGGCUAUGGAGGCUACCUGGAGGAGGGCUAUGGAGGAGAAUGCUGAGAUUAUGGAGCUAUGGAAGAUUGUCACUGAACAGCAGAAAUUAAUUACUGAGCUGAUCAAGGUGUUGAAGGGGGAGAAGGCUGCUGAGAAAUUGAGUUUUAAGACGGAGGUUGAUAUGCCUCUGUAUGAGUUUGAGAGUGGUGGUAGCCCGAGAGUAGCUGAUGAGCAAGCAGAAAUUCAGCCUUCUAAGAGGCGGGUGACAGAGAGGGUACUUAAGGUCUCCUUAGUCUUACAAAGUCCUUUCAUCCCACUACCAUGAAGUCCUCCUGCUCCUGAAUGAGGCAUAGAAAAAGGAAAACCUAUAAAAGGAAUGACAGGGAGGAGUUUGUUGAAAGCAGACGUGACUUUCCCAACAUGGAACUUGUAGAGGAUGGGGAACAACAAUAUAUCAUUGACUUUCUAGGGCAAAAAAUGGAUUGCUUAGGUCAUUGGUUUGAAGGGAUGGCAUCAGCAUCAUCAAUAGGCCAUAGGUGCAUGACAUCUUGGCGGGUAACAUGAUCAAUGAUGAUUGAAAGCAGUUUUAGGCACUACAGCUCCAUUUCUAGAGGGAAGUAUGGACGAGUCGAUCCCAAAUUUGUUAACAGGUUUGGCAAGAUGGCAUGAGAAAUCUACAUUGGUGAUAUGGGUGGUUCAGUUUUUGAUUGUCCUUGGUACAAUGAAAGGUUUGAUUGUGUCAUUGAUGUGAAAAAUUUUACAAGUGCAUAGUGAGUGGAACAAAGAUUACCAUUACAGAUGCUAAUGUUCCAUGAUUUCAUGCUAAAUAUGCUACCGAGAUUAUAAUGAAGGGUCUAGAAGGGGCAUGAUUAUAUGUAUCCUAUCCAUUGUGUUACAAUUUUUUUUGUUUUUGAUGGAUUGUUGUCUUACAAUAUUGUACUCCAAAGUUGUAUUUUGGAAGAGUCCCAAUGUAUAUGUUUUUUUAGGAACAUAUUUGUAUUACACCUCAGUAUUAGUUGUAAGAGGUCAUCCAUUUUAUAACUUUUUUUUUUUAUCGAGUAGCCCGAGUAUGCUUCUUAAAGAUAGAAAUCAUAUAGUGCUCAAUGAGCAUUGUGAAUCUA